rnacentral:rRNA from 1 species
ACUCCUACGGGAGGCAGCAGUGGGGAAUUUUGGACAAUGGGCGAAAGCCUGAUCCAGCAAUGCCGCGUGAGUGAAGAAGGCCUUCGGGUUGUAAAGCUCUUUUGUCAGGGAAGAAACGGUGAGAGCUAAUAUCUCUUGCUAAUGACGGUACCUGAAGAAUAAGCACCGGCUAACUACGUGCCAGCAGCCGCGGUAAUACGUAGGGUGCAAGCGUUAAUCGGAAUUACUGGGCGUAAAGCGUGCGCAGGCGGUUUUGUAAGUCUGAUGUGAAAUCCCCGGGCUCAACCUGGGAAUUGCAUUGGAGACUGCAAGGCUAGAAUCUGGCAGAGGGGGGUAGAAUUCCACGUGUAGCAGUGAAAUGCGUAGAUAUGUGGAGGAACACCGAUGGCGAAGGCAGCCCCCUGGGUCAAGAUUGACGCUCAUGCACGAAAGCGUGGGGAGCAAACAGGAUUAGAAACCCGAGAGUCCCAUG